GGCGAAAUGGCCGAGUGGUCUAAGGCGUCAGACUCAAGUUUUCUAUAACUUAUGCAUUAAAUGCAAGUCUUUGGGCUUUCUGAUCUCGUUAUCGAGGCGUGGGUUCGAAUCCCACUUUCGUCA
rnacentral:tRNA from 1 species